AAGUUUGAUCCUGGCUCAGAUUGAACGCUGGCGCUAUGCCUUACACAUGCAAGUCGAACGGCAGCACGGGUGCUUGCACCUGGUGGCGAGUGGCGAACGGGUGAGUAAUACAUCGGAACAUGUCCUGUAGUGGGGGAUAGCCCGGCGAAAGCCGGAUUAAUACCGCAUACGAUCUACGGAUGAAAGCGGGGGACCUUCGGGCCUCGCGCUAUAGGGUUGGCCGAUGGCUGAUUAGCUAGUUGGUGGGGUAAAGGCCUACCAAGGCGACGAUCAGUAGCUGGUCUGAGAGGACGACCAGCCACACUGGGACUGAGACACGGCCCAUACUCCUACGGGAGGCAGCAGUGGGGAAUUUUGGACAAUGGGCGAAAGCCUGAUCCAGCAAUGCCGCGUGUGUGAAGAAGGCCUUCGGGUUGUAAAGCACUUUUGUCCGGAAAGAAAUCCUUGGCUCUAAUACAGUCGGGGGAUGACGGUACCGGAAGAAUAGGCACCGGCUAACUACGUGCCAGCAGCCGCGGUAAUACGUAGGGUGCGAGCGUUAAUCGGAAUUACUGGGCGUAAAGCGUGCGCAGGCGGUUUGCUAAGACCGAUGUGAAAUCCCCGGGCUCAACCUGGGAACUGCAUUGGUGACUGGCAGGCUAGAGUAUGGCAGAGGGGGGUAGAAUUCCACGUGUAGCAGUGAAAUGCGUAGAGAUGUGGAGGAAUACCGAUGGCGAAGGCAGCCCCCUGGGCCAAUACUGACGCUCAUGCACGAAAGCGUGGGGAGCAAACAGGAUUAGAUACCCUGGUAGUCCACGCCCUAAACGAUGUCAACUAGUUGUUGGGGAUUCAUUUCCUUAGUAACGUAGCUAACGCGUGAAGUUGACCGCCUGGGGAGUACGGUCGCAAGAUUAAAACUCAAAGGAAUUGACGGGGACCCGCACAAGCGGUGGAUGAUGUGGAUUAAUUCGAUGCAACGCGAAAAACCUUACCUACCCUUGACAUGGUCGGAAUCCUGCUGAGAGGUGGGAGUGCUCGAAAGAGAACCGGCGCACAGGUGCUGCAUGGCUGUCGUCAGCUCGUGUCGUGAGAUGUUGGGUUAAGUCCCGCAACGAGCGCAACCCUUGUCCUUAGUUGCUACGCAAGAGCACUCUAAGGAGACUGCCGGUGACAAACCGGAGGAAGGUGGGGAUGACGUCAAGUCCUCAUGGCCCUUAUGGGUAGGGCUUCACACGUCAUACAAUGGUCGGAACAGAGGGUUGCCAACCCGCGAGGGGGAGCUAAUCCCAGAAAACCGAUCGUAGUCCGGAUUGCACUCUGCAACUCGAGUGCAUGAAGCUGGAAUCGCUAGUAAUCGCGGAUCAGCAUGCCGCGGUGAAUACGUUCCCGGGUCUUGUACACACCGCCCGUCACACCAUGGGAGUGGGUUUUACCAGAAGUGGCUAGUCUAACCGCAAGGAGGACGGUCACCACGGUAGGAUUCAUGACUGGGGUGAAGUCGUAACAAGGUAA
rnacentral:rRNA from 1 species